UAGAGUUUGAUCAUGGCUCAGGAUGAACCCUUUCUACAGGCUUAACACAUGCAAGUCGAGGGGCAGCAUUCUUUGUAGCAAUACAAAGAGAUGGCGACCGGCGCACGGGUGCGUAACGCGUAUCCAACCUUCCCGUUACUCUUGGAUAGCCUUCCGAAAGGGAGAUUAAUACAAGAUGGUGUUUCAAAUUCGCAUGGGCAUGAAACUAAAGAUUUACCGGUAACGGAUGGGGAUGCGUUCCAUUAGGUAGUAGGCGGGGUAACGGCCCACCUAGCCUUCGAUGGAUAGGGGUUCUGAGAGGAAGGUCCCCCACACUGGAACUGAGACACGGUCCAGACUCCUACGGGAGGCAGCAGUGAGGAAUAUUGGUCAAUGGCCGGAAGGCUGAACCAGCCAAGUAGCGUGAAGGAUGAAGGUUCUAUGGAUUGUAAACUUCUUUUAUACGGGAAUAAAGUGAGUUACGUGUAGCUUAUUGCAUGUACCGUAUGAAUAAGCAUCGGCUAACUCCGUGCCAGCAGCCGCGGUAAUACGGAGGAUGCGAGCGUUAUCCGGAUUUAUUGGGUUUAAAGGGAGCGUAGACGGGCGAUUAAGUCAGCUGUGAAAGGGUGCGGCUCAACCGUAGCAUUGCAGUUGAUUACUGGUCGUCUUGAGUGCGUUUGAGGUACGUGGAAUUCGUGGUGUAGCGGUGAAAUGCUUAGAUAUCACGAAGAACCCCGAUUGCGAAAGCAGCGUACCAAACCGUAAACUGACGUUGAUGCUCGAAAGGGUGGGUAUCAAACAGGAUUAGAUACCCUGGUAGUCCACACGGUAAACGAUGAAUACUCGCUGUUGGCGAUAUAUUGUCAGCGGCCAAGCGAAAGCAUUAAGUAUUCCACCUGGGGAGUACGCCGGCAACGGUGAAACUCAAAGGAAUUGACGGGGGCCCGCACAAGCGGAGGAACAUGUGGUUUAAUUCGAUGAUACGCGAGGAACCUUACCCGGGCUUAAAUUGCGCAGGACAGGCGGUGAGAGCCGCUCUUCUUCGGAUCUGCGUGAAGGUGCUGCAUGGUUGUCGUCAGCUCGUGCCGUGAGGUGUCGGCUUAAGUGCCAUAACGAGCGCAACCCUUGCCGUCAGUUACUAACAGGUCAUGCUGAGGACUCUGACGGGACUGCCAUCGUAAGAUGUGAGGAAGGUGGGGAUGACGUCAAAUCAGCACGGCCCUUACGUCCGGGGCUACACACGUGUUACAAUGGGAGGUACAGAAGGCCGCUACCCGGCGACGGGACGCCAAUCCCCAAAACCUCUCUCAGUUCGGAUUGGAGUCUGCAACCCGACUCCAUGAAGCUGGAUUCGCUAGUAAUCGCGCAUCAGCCACGGCGCGGUGAAUACGUUCCCGGGCCUUGUACACACCGCCCGUCAAGCCAUGAAAGCCGGGGGUACCUGAAGUGCGUUACCGAGAGGAUCGUCCUAGGGUAAAACUGGUGAUUGGGGGUAAGUCGUAACAAGGUAACC
rnacentral:rRNA from 1 species